AGGACGAACGCUGGCGGCGUGCUUAACACAUGCAAGUCGAGGGCACUUUGGGGGCAACUCUGGAGUGACCGGCGAACGGGUGCGUAACACGUGAGCGACCUUGCCUCGUGGUGGGGGAUAGCCGGCCCAACGGCCGGGUAAUACCGCAUAUGGUAGUUUCUUCGCAUGGGGGAGACUAGCAAAGCCUUGGAGCAAUCCAAUGGCGCCACAGGGAGGGCUCGCGGCCUAUCAGCUAGUUGGGGGGGUAAUGGCCCACCAAGGCGACGACGGGUA
rnacentral:rRNA from 1 species